rnacentral:lncRNA from 12 species
UCAGUUUACAGAUUUUAACAUGGUGAACUCUUCCCCUUGCUUUCAGCCUGGCCAGCAACCUUAAAAGCUCCCUCAGGAAGAGGACCAAGGCUAUUAAUUAGCAGAGUGUGCAAGUAUAAGGACUACUGAAGAAUUCCCAUCAUCACUAGUUAAGCACUCAGUCGUUUCCCCAGCUGGGUCUGUCAUGUUUUCAUCAGAAGUAUCUGAUCCUACAGCUGAGGAGCAGUUAAUGAAUGCAGUGAACAGAUGCAGUUUG